rnacentral:lncRNA from 1 species
CUCAGAGACUCAAAACAACCAGCUAUGAUAAUGGCCUUAAUAUCUGAUGUAGACCUCUAAUGAACUUCGCGUGCCUACUUUAUCUACAACCUACGUGAGGUAAAAACCAACACUGUAAUACCCGGCUGGAGUCCGGCAUCGGAGUUAUACUUUCCAAUGAAAUCCGGGAUGUCGAAAGUCUCUAGAAGGGUCAGCUUUAUGUUGUUCUACAAUGUUUUGAUAUAUUUCAUAGUUUUUAUGUAUAAGGAAAUGUGUUUUUGAACGAAACGAACCAAGGCAGAAAAGCCAGGUUCGGCCGCCGAAGGUGACAUUCGGUCGCCGAACAUGCAUGGCUUUCGGUUUCACGUGUGGCCGCCGAAGGUGGUCUGGCCAGCCACCUAUAAAACGCCCUCAGUCGGUUGGAAGGAUAAGGAUUGCCUUUUCUUUCUCUUUCUGAGGUGAGACCCUGUCCUUUUUAGGUUUUCUUCAUGUUUUCAUCAAAUCAUGCAAAGGCUUGAUUGAUUUUGAUGUUAUUUUGAAGGUUUUGAGCUAAAAACACAAAGGUGUGAAGUUUGGAGAGUUUGAAGGAGAGUUGCUCCAAAACUCCACGUUAGGAUCGUUCAUCUUCUUGGUUUCAAGAGGUAAGUGAAGAUCCUGAGCUUGUUUUCAUGUUUUAUGGAUGAUUUUUGAGGUUUUGGGGAGAGUUGCAUGAUUAGGGUAAAAGAGAGGUUUUUUUGAUAUUUUUGUGAGAAAAGCUUGUAUAUGUGGUGUAUGUUUUGUGUUGUUGGGGUUUUAAGGUAGUUUUUGACCCCUUUGAGCAUAUACUUGGGAGUAUGCAUGUUAAGGAAUUGAGGUGUUUGAGUUUGGGAGAGUUUGGUGCAUUUUGGCGUGAGGCAGAGCAAGGUUCUGCCUUGCUGAUGAACCCAGCUUCGGCCGCCGAAGAAUGGUUCGGCUGCCGAAGGUGCUGAGGAGGUGGCUUCGGUUACCUAAGCUUGCCCCCGAGCUUUUGGACUUUCGGCUCUGGAGGGGAGUUUCGGCUGCCGAAGAUGCCCCCGAAGGUUAGAGACUUUCGUCUCUGGAGUGCCUUUCAGCCCCCGAAACUUGCCCCCUAAAGGGUUCGGCUGCCGAAAGUAGAGAUUUGGCCGCCGAAGGUGCUUGAGUUUCGGCUCUGGAGAGGACUUUCGGCCGCCAAACCUACCACCGAAAGUGUCCUGUCCAGCCUUCCUUUGCCUGCUUUGCAUAGAUGUGUGAGUGAGUGUAAAGGGAUUCUUGGGGAGUAUAAUAGAGUUGUUCUUGAGUUAGUUUGGUCCCUCAUUUGAGUUUAUCUGUGCCUACACAGACCAGAGGAACCAGAGAGAGCAGCAGUGAGUACUGCUCCAGAGUUUACAGCGCCUGCAAAGUCAGUCCAGAUAGCCAGAGGUGAGUGGAACUAAACUUAAUUCUUUUCAUUGAGAAAUGAAAUGCUUUUAGCAUCAUUCAUGCAUCAUGAGUAUACAGUAGGUUGUUUGCACUAGAAUCCAUGAAUAUGUUGCAUUGCAUAGGUAUUUGUAGAUGUGGGUGAAUGUUGAAUGAUCCAAUAGUUCCAGACAGGAAGUCCAGGACCCCAUUCUACGGCAUGGCAAGUAUAGAAAAGUCCAGGACCCCAUUCUACGGCCUGGCAGGUAUAGUAAAGACCAGGUGCCCAGUCUACGCCCUGGCAAAUGGUAAGUACAGAUGUUAUAUACACAUAUACAUAUACAGUACAGGAAGACCAGGACCCCAGUCUACGGCCUGGCACGGAACAGUUACUGGGACUAUGUGGUGACAGGUUUACCCUUGAUGUGGAUUGUCUGUGAUAUGAUGCAUUCCAUAAGAUCAUGUUUUAAUGACUUGUUUUACUAUUCUACUCACUGGGCUAUAGAGCUCAUCCCACUCCCUUAACCCCAGUCUUGCAGGUUCAGUGUACAGUGUACAGGGAAGAUCAACAGAGUACAGAAAGAGUAAAGAGAUUUGUAAUAGCUUAGAGUGGACAUGUAAUAUUAACGAGAUGUACUAGUUGUGUAUACAGUUCAAUUUGUGCUUGACUUAGUGAUUUUGUGUUGUAAAUCUUUUGUUAUGUACAUGAUCGGUAUAUGUAUAUGUUUUACAGAGUAUGUGAAAAAUCAGGCUUAACAGGUAUGAGUUAACCCAUCUAGAGCAAGCUCUAGUCAGGGGUACAGAGUACAGAGUACAAAGUACAGAGUACAGAGAUAGUGCAUGCACAGGUUAAGCCUUGGUUCAAAAAAGAGUUUUUAUUUUCACAGAAAAUGUAUGAUCAUGUAUGAGAUUUACAGGUACACAGAGAGUAUAGCAGGCUUGCUACGGGUUCUGGCGGCCUUAAGCCGACCUGAAUCCUAGCGCCGGUGACGGUCCAUUUUGGGGUCGUUACAGAUUGGUAUCAGAGCUCUAGGUUCACAUAUAGCAGCAGAGCGGAGACCAAUAGUAAUGGAGCUUUAUAAGCUCAUCGAGGAAGGGUUACAGCUAGAGUUGUAUGGUACGGGUGCAUUGAUCGCACAGAUGAGAGUGACACCUGUGUUUCUGGAGCAAAUAGCUCAGAAACAGCACGAGGACCCAGAGUUGAUGAAAAUUGCCAGGACUGUUCAGUCAGGCAACAGUGCAGAGUUCAGAUUUGACAGUAAAGGGAUCCUUCGCUAUAGGAGUCAACUCUGUGUACCAGCUAGUAGCAGUCUGAAGGAAGACAUUAUGAGGGAAGCUCAUAAUGCGCGGUAUAGUGUUCACCUAGGAGCCACCAAGAUGUAUCAGGAUCUGAAGACGGUAUAUUGGUGGCCAGCCAUGAAGAAAGAAGUGGCGCAGUUCGUGACAGCCUGUGAGGUUUGUCAAAGGGUGAAACUAGAACAUCAGAAGCCGGCUGGAAUGCUUAACCCACUGUCGAUUCCAGAAUGGAAAUGGGAGAAUAUAGCUAUGGAUUUUGUAGUGGGCUUACCAGCAGCGUCCAACAAGAUAGACUCCAUAUGGGUGAUUGUGGACAGACUCACGAAAUAUGCUCAUUUCAUUCCAGUGAGGAGUAACUAUUCUGUAGAUAAGUUAGCACAGGUAUAUCUAGAUGAGAUAGUGAGAUUACAUGGAAUUCCAGUGUCUAUAGUCUCAGACAGAGGACCUCAGUUCACCUCCAGAUUUUGGCGGAGUCUGCAGAGUGCGAUGGGCACGAGGUUGGAUUUUAGCACUGCUUUCCAUCCACAGACUGAUGGACAGUCAGAGAGGACCAUCCAGACCAUAGAGGAUAUGCUCAGAAUGUGUGUGUUAGACUUUGGCGGUUCUUGGAGGCAGCAUCUACCUCUGGUGGAGUUUGCCUAUAAUAACAGUCAUCAUGCUAGCAUCGGGAUGGCUCCUUAUGAAGCGUUGUAUGGGAGGAAGUGUAGAUCACCUGUUUGCUGGGAAGAGGUAGGAGAGAAGGCUCUUGCAGGGCCAGAGUUAGUAGAGAUUACCAGUAGAGUGGUGCCCGUGAUCAGAGAGAGGAUCAGAACUGCUCAGAGCAGGCAGAAAAGUUACGCAAACGUUCGCAGAAAACAGAUAGAGUUUCAGGAGGGUAGUAUGGUAUUGCUGAAGGUGUCUCCAAUGAAAGGAGUGGUUCGUUUUGGCAGAAAGGGUAAGUUAGCUCCAUGAUACAUUGGACCCUUUGAGAUCUUACAAAGGAUCGGGAAUAUGUCGUAUAAGCUAGAUUUACCUGUUUCUAUGGAGAGGAUUCACCCGGUAUUUCAUGUUUCUAUGCUACGGCAGUUUGUGUCAGAUCCAAAUCAGGUUCUGAGUGAGCCUGAUGUGGAGAUUCUGAGAGAUCUCACCUAUAUAGAGCAGCCAGUACGGAUUCUAGACACGUAGAUCAGACAGCUAAGGAACAAGGAAAUUCCAAUGGUGAAAGUUCUAUGGAACCACCAUAAUCUAGAAGAGUGCACUUGGGAGACGCGGGAGUCUAUGCUCCAGCAAUAUCCAUAUCUGUUUUGAGGUUCGUUUUCCUCCUUUUUGUGUGUUUAUUUGUUUGUUUGAGGAACAUUCGAGGACGAAUGUUCGUAAGGGGGGGAGAAUGUAAUACCCGGCUGGAGUCCGGCAUCGGAGUUCUACUUUCCAGUGGAAUCCGGGAUGUCGGAAGUCUCUAGAAGGGUCAGCUUUAUGUUGUUCUACAAUGUUUUGAUAUAUUUCAUAGUUUUUAAGUAUAAGGAAAUGUGUUUUUGAACGAAACUAACCAAGGCAGAAAAGCCAGGUUCGGCCGCCGAAGGUGACAUUCGGCCGCCGAACAUGCAUGGCUUUCGGUUUCACGUGUGGCCGCCGAAGGUGGUCUGGCCAGCCACCUAUAAAAGGCCCUCAGUCGGUUGGAAGGAUAAGGAUUGCCUUUUCUUUCUCUUUCUGAGGUGAGACCCUGUCCUUUUUAGGUUUUCUUCAUGUUUUCAUCAAAUCAUCCAAAGGUUUGAUUGAUUUUGAUGUUAUUUUGAAGGUUUUGAGCUAAAAACACAAAGGUGUGAAGUUUGGAGAGUUUGAAGGAGAAUUGCUCCAAAACUCCACGUUAGGAUCGUUCAUCUUCUUGGUUUCAAGAGGUAAGUGAAGAUCCUGAGCUUGUUUUCAUGUUUUAUGGAUGAUUUUUGAGGUUUUGGGGAGAGUUGCAUGAUUAGGGUAAAAGAGAGGUUUUUUUGAUAUUUUUGUGAGAAAAGCUUGUAUAUGUGGUGUAUGUUUUGUGUUAUAGGGGUUAUAAGGUAGUUGUUGACCCCUUUGAGCAUAUACUUGGGUGUAUGCAUGUUAAGAAAUUGAGGUGUUUGAGUUUGGAAGAGUUUGGUGCAUUUUGGCGUGAGGCAGAGCAAGGUUCUGCCUUGCUGAUGAACCCAGCUUCGGCCGCCGAAGAAUGGUUCGGCUGCCGAAGGUGCUGAGGAGGUGGCUUCGGUUACCUAAGCUUGCCCCCGAGCUUUUGGACUUUCGGCUCUGGAGGGGAGUUUCGGCCGCCGAAGAUGCCCCCGAAGGUUAGAGACUUUCGUCUCUGGAGUGCCUUUCAGCCCCCGAAACUUGCCCCCAAAAGGGUUCGACUGCCGAAAGUAGAGAUUCGGCCGCCGAAGGUGCUUGAGUUUCGGCUCUGAAGAGGACUUUCGGCUGCCGAACCUACCGCCGAAAGUGUCCUGUCCAGCCUUCCUUUGCCUGCUUUGCAUAGAUGUGUGAGUGAGUAUAAGGGGAUUCUUGGGGAGUAUAAUAGAGUUGUUCUUGAGUUAGUUUGGUCCCUCAUUUGAGUUUAUCUGUGCCUACACAGACCAGAGGAACCAGAGAGAGCAGCAGUGAGUACUGCUCCAGAGUUUACAGAGCCUGCAAAGUUAGUCCAGAUAGCCAGAGGUGAGUGGAACUAAACUUAAUUCUUUUAAUUGAUAAAUGAAAUGCUUUUAGCAUCAUUCAUGCAUCAUGAGUAUACACUAGGUUGUUUGCACUAGAAUCCACGAAUAUGUUGCAUUGCAUAGUUAUUUGUAGAUGUGGGUGAAUGCUGAAUGAUCCAAUAGUUCCAGACAGGAAGUCCAGGACCCCAUUCUACGGCCUGGCAAGUAUAGGAAAGUCCAGGACCCCAUUCUACGGCCUGGCAGGUAUAGUAAAGACCAGGUGCCCAGUCUACGCCCUGGCAAAUGGUAAGUACAAAUGUUAUAUACACAUAUACAUAUACAGUACAGGAAGACCAGGACCCCAGUCUACGGCCUGGCACGGAACAAUUACUGGGACUAUGUGAUGACAGGUUUACCCUUGAUGUGGAUUGUCUGUGAUAUGAUGCAUUCCAUAAGAUCAUGUUUUAAUGACUUGUUUUACUAUUCUACUCACUGGGCUAUAGAGCUCAUCCCACUCCCUUAACCCCAGUCUUGCAGGUUCAGUGUACAGUGUACAGGGAAGAUCAGCAGAGUACAGAAAGAGUAAAGAGAUUUGUAAUAGCUUAGAGUGGACAUGUAAUAUUAACAUUCAUAUAACUUAUUUAUACAAUAAAAUUAACAUGUUUAGCAAGUAAAAUCAACCCCUAAUUUCUCUUAUUCAUGACAGAAUCAAAGGAAAACAGAAAAUCAUACAAACACCAAACCUUUCUUGAAUUCCUCCUUUCUUUUCCUCUUCUAAUCUCUAGCUAUCUCCUUUCCCUUUGAUGUUCCUUCACCUAGAUCAAUUUAUAUCUUAGGUAAGGAUUGAAUAAAUUGUAAAUUAAAGCUUUAUAAUUCAAAUUUAUGUAUGAAGAAAUGCGAAGAUGUCAUUUCCUACACAUUUAUAAGCUCACCUUUGAUUUUCAAGCUUGGUGUAUAUGGAACCCUAAACCUUUCUUCUUCAAUUCCUUCAAUAUAUGGCUGUUCCUUCAGCUCUUG